rnacentral:lncRNA from 1 species
AGAGAGCCAGAGAGGCCUAAUUUUUGAGAAUGAGGUCCACUAAUUACCAGCUCUGUGAUCCUUGGCAAGUUGCUUAUCCUCACAAGCUAAAUGUUUAAUAAAUCAGUACAGAAGGCAUCAGGAGACACCAAAUAUGGUCAGGACACCGCACAGCAAUGAUUGGGAUGCAAGUCAUCUACAGGCUCACCACCAUUUGUCCUUCCUGCACAGUCGGGGCAUAACAUGUUAUCUUCUAUGCCUGGGGAUGGGAAAUUGCAGGCAGGUAACAAGAAGAGAGAAUUCAUCCUCCUGUGAGUGGUAGGCACCCAGGACUGACCUGCAUGAAACUGCAGGCCUACCCAACCCUUUGUGUCUGCUGAGAGAAGUCUGCCAUGGACCACACACCACCUGACG